UAUCAUUAAUGGAUACAGUAUGUGACAACAAGAUAAUGUGUGGCAAAACAACACUUCCUAACUAGAUCCUAACUCUACUGUUUGAUUCAGAGCAAAGGAUGCAUUCAUGAUCUGGAUUUUAGCACAGCCAGCUAGUCUCCCAGCUAACGUUAGCCCUGGCUCUCCAUGUGGAUCCAACCGGAGCACUGAGCCCUGGUUUGUUACUCAGGUUAAAGUGGGAAGAAGCAGUGGGUCUGAUGGACAGCUUGGGUGAAGUGGAGCCUGCGGAGGAAGCACCCGGACCGUCAGGGUGACACAGUCAGUUAAGGGAAGCACCAUUAGGCCGCGGAGGAGAAGGCCUUUUUAUAAUUGGCAGAAUUCGCUGAUGCCGAUAUUUCAUUUUAGAGCUUUUAUCGGCCGAUACUGAUGACAUGCUGAUAAUAUUGUGCAUCCCUAGUACAUACAGUAUCAAAAAUGUACACAUUAUGUGAUGGCUUAUUGUGUCACCAUUUAAUUUUGAGUUCUUAAUUGGCUUUUUUUAGGUUGAGUCAAAAGCUUUGUCAUUUCAUUUUUCCAGAAAAGUAUGAGGAUGCAAGAAAAAAACUCCCUGAGGCAGACACAUUCUCAGACAUUCAGUCAGAUGUUAGCAAAUGAUGCUAGCAUUAGCAUGGUAGUCCACUAGCAUUAGCAUGUUAGUUCAUUUGCUAGCUAGUGCUAGCUUGACCUGUUUGCACUGAUUACACAUGGACUGAUUUGGUUAUUAAGAUUGUGUAAUUUAAGUGAAUAUUUAUUUUAUUGAAUAAAGAUCAGCUUUACGUUAAAAGAGCAGAGGAGCACAAUCGCUUGUUGACCGGCAUGGAGAAAUACGCUUCAGGUGUGAACAAACAGGCUCCUGCUUGUGCGAGAAUUGACACUUCGCAGCGCUUCCACUUCCAGUCUGAAUGUACUGUUAGAUCAGUUGUAUAUUUUAUGUUUUCUUGCAGAUACCCAGAAGAUGGUUCCAUGAAAACAUCAUGACCAACAACAUCAGGCCACAUUACCUCGUCCUGCCCUUUCCAGUACUGAAAAUUAGUCAGUAGUCACUCUCAGACAGAUACUGAAGGAGGCAAAAGUCUACAGCUCCAUCCUAGAACUUCAGAGGGCUGUAGUAAGAAAAAAAAGUGUCCUCAGGACACAACUUUGACCCAGAAAGCCAGAUGAUCCACAUCAGCAUGGUGUGCUGUCAGCUGUACCAGCCUCGACCACUCAGGAGCCAUCGCAGACACAGAGGCCACAGAGACAGAGUCUUGCCAUGGCAUCAGAUGAGGACCACCUGUGAAAUGUCUAGUCAUGCACCACAUUUGAAACUACAUAUUUACCAUACCAAAUUGGCCUCUGUAUAUCUGUACACUGUAUACAUUUGUGACUACUUUUUAUCCAGCAUUCUGUAUAUUUUUAUUCUUGACCCAAAUA